GGGUAGCUCAGUUGGUAGAGCAGCGGACUGAAAAUCCGCGUGUCGGUGGUUCGAGUCCGCCCCC
rnacentral:tRNA from 1 species